rnacentral:lncRNA from 1 species
GAAGGCCGCCAGCAGCCAGAGCCCCACGGAGAAGCCCGCGAAGGAGAUGGCGAAGUACAGGCUGUCCCGGGAGCCCAGGGCGGCCUGCACGACGGAGAAGCCCACCUGGCAGCCCAGGAACAGGAAGUCGGCGGCGGCCAGGUGGAGGACGUACACGGAGAAGGGGCCCCUCCUGAUGUGCAAGCCAAGGUGCCAGAGGACCAGCCCGUUGCCCAGCAGCCCUCCGAGGCCGACGGCCAGGGUCAGGGACUCUGCACGUGGCUUCCCACCAGGAGGGCCUGGACCACACCCUGGUACACCGAAGGAGCUGACCAGACUCCGCGGCUCGGAGGUAAGCGGCAGGGAGGCCAGGCU